rnacentral:ribozyme from 13 species
UGUUUUUUUUUCUUUCUUUCUUUUUUUCUCCCUUUCUCUCUUUGUUUAUCUCCCUAUUUUCAGGACGGGGAGAAAUCGAGGUUUUAAAAGUCGAGAGAGAAUUUCUUGAUGCUACUCUCUUUUUUUUGGAUAGUUUUUCUUUUUUCCCUUUUUUAGUUUUGGAAGAAGCAGAGAGAGAAGAAGA